rnacentral:rRNA from 1 species
CCUGGUUGAUCCUGCCAGUAGUCAUAUGCUUGUCUCAAAGAUUAAGCCAUGCAUGUGUAAGUACAGGCCGACUUAAGGCGAAACCGCGGACGGCUCAUUAAAUCAGAUAUAACUCAUUGGAUCUCUGCUGAACCGCAUUACUUGGAUAACUGUGGUAAUUCUAGAGCUAAUACAUGCCUUUGUAGUCUCCGACCGCGAGGGAGGAGCGCUUUUAUUAGACCAAAACCCUCGGCAGCCGGUUCCCGCAAGGGGCCGGCCGCACACAUCUUGGUGAAUCAGAAUAACUUUUGCCGAGCGCACGACCCCUCCCGUAACCCGGGUUGGGUCGGCGCCGCGUCCUGCAGGCGUCUGCCUUAUCAGCUCUCGAUUGUAGGUUAAACGCCUACAAUGGCUAUCACGGGUAACGGGGAAUCAGGGUUCGAUUCCGGAGAGGGAGCCUGAGAAACGGCUACCACAUCUAAGGAAGGCAGCAGGCGCGCAAAUUACCCACUCCCGGCACGGGGAGGUAGUGACGAAAAAUACUGUUGCGAGCCCCGAACGGGGCCUCGCAAUUGGAAUGAGUACACUUUAAAUCCUUGUACGAGGAUCGAGUGGAGGGCAAGUCUGGUGCCAGCCGCCGCGGUAAUUCCAGCUCCACUAGCGUAUAUUAAAGUUGUUGCGGUUGAAACGCUCGUAGUUUGACUUCUGCUCCGGACCGGCGGUCCGCCUUAGCGGCGGCUACUGCCGGGUUCCGAGCUGUGUCCCCGCCGGCGCACAUGGGGUUUUUAUGCCCUUAACCGGGUGUCCCCUUGUGGCCGGCACGUUUACUUUGAAAAAAUUAGAGUGCUCAGAGCAGGCUGGUUUUUGCUUACAGCCCGAAUGGUCGUGCAUGGAAUGAUGGAACAGGACCUCGGUUCUAUUUUGUCGGUUUUUCGGAACCCGAGGUAAUGAUUAAUAGAAGCAGACGGGGGCAUUCGUACUGCGACGCUAGAGGUGAAAUUCUUAGACCGUCGCAUGACGACCUACUGCGAAAGCAUCUGCCAAGGAUGUUUUCAUUGAUCAAGAACGAAAGUUAGAGGUUCGAAGGCGAUCAGAUACCGCCCUAGUUCUAACCUUAAACGAUGCUGACUAGCGAUCCGCCGCAGUUAUUCCCAUGACCCGGCGGGUAGCUUCCGGGAAACCAAAGUCUUUGAGUUCCGGGGAAGUAUGGUUGCAAAGCUGAAACUUAAAGGAAUUGACGGAAGGGCACCACCAGGAGUGGAGCCUGCGGCUCAAUUUGACUCAACACGGGGAAACUCACCAGGCCAGGACACCGGAAGGAUUGACAGAAUGAAGGCUCUUUCUCGAUUCGGUGGGUGGUGGUGCAUGGCCGUUCUUAGUUGGUGGAGUGAUCUGUCUGGUUAAUUCCGAUAACGAACGAGACUCUAGCCUGCUAAAUAGUCGACGGAUCUCAACCCCGUUGCCCCCGUUGUCGUUCGCGGCGAUGCGGGGCGCGGGUUCCCCGAAACCCGGUCGUCGUGCGGGCCUCCACCGUCGGUCGGUUAGCGCCGCCGGCGGCGCGCCCCGCGGCGCCGGAAACUGGCGUCCGCUUCGCAGUCUUCUUCUUAGAGGGAUAAGCGGCAGCAAAAAAUAUACUAGCCGCACGAGAGUUUGAGCCAUAACAGGUCUGUGAUGCCCUUAGAUGUUCUGGGCCGCACGCGCGCUACAAUGGAGAGUUCAGCGAGCUGUCCCUGCUCCGAGAGGAGCGGGUAACCUCGUGAAAGCUGUCCUUAAAGGGGAUUGGGGCUUGCAAAUGUUCCCCAUGAACGAGGAAUUCCCAGUAGGCGCAAUUCACCAGAUUGCGCCGAUUUAGUCCCUGCCCUUUGUACACACCGCCCGUCGCUACUACCGAUUGAAUGGUCUAGUGAGGGCACCGGACUGGCGCCCUUGGAGCCGCUACCGCCUCGGCGGGCAGCGCCCUCGGGUCGACGGAAAGGUGUCCAAGCUGGGUCAUUUAGAGGAAGUAAAAGUCGUAACAAGGUUUCCGUAGGUGAACCUGCGGAAG